rnacentral:rRNA from 1 species
AGCAAACGCUGGCGGCAGGCUUAACACAUGCAAGUCGAACGCCCCGCAAGGGGAGUGGCAGACGGGUGAGUAACACGUGGGAACGUACCCUUUGGUUCGGAAUAACUUGGGGAAACUCAAGCUAAUACCGGAUAAGCCCUUAUGGGGAAAGGUUUACUGCCGAAGGAUCGGCCCGCGUCUGAUUAGCUAGUUGGUGAGGUAAUGGCUCACCAAGGCGACGAUCAGUAGCUGGUCUGAGAGGAUGAUCAGCCACACUGGGACUGAGACACGGCCCAGACUCCUACGGGAGGCAGCAGUGGGGAAUAUUGGACAAUGGGGGCAACCCUGAUCCAGCCAUGCCGCGUGAGUGAUGAAGGCCUUAGGGUUGUAAAGCUCUUUUACCCGGGACGAUAAUGACUGUACCGGGAGAAUAAGCCCCGGCUAACUUCGUGCCAGCCGCCGCAUAA